UUAGAAUCCCCUUUCUCCUCUCCCUGUUUAAAAUAAAAAAAAAUAAUUGCCUAUCAAAAAAAACUUUGGAAAGUAUCCAUUUGCGGAAGUCUUUCCAUAUUGUAAUAAAACAGGGGACUCCUCUAGGGCUAAUGAAUCCUUAUUGAUAUCAUGAUCAAUAACUUGAACCCUACUCUGUUUUGAUCUUUUUGCACGUUCUAUAUCCUAGCUAGGGUUCAUGCACUGAAAGUAAGUUCUACCCCAUCAACUACGAGAAGAAGAAAAAACUCCCAGAUCAGUACUCUCUGUCUCUCAUGGCAAAGAGGGGAGUGAACAAAAAGAGUCGUUCUGGUCUACCACCACCACCGCGGAAAAGAAGGGCUAUUGCUGCCGCCGCAACCACCACCAUCUCAGAACUUCCAGAUGAUGUAAUUUUCGACAUUCUAUUAAGAAUCAAGUCCAUCAUUAGAUUCAACCGAGUAUGCAGGAGGUGGCGCAGACUGAUUCUCCAACCCCGCUUCGCCAAAUCGCAUAGCUCGAGGUGGUCUCUUCCUCUCAGUCUUAUCUUCUACCGUCCCUCUGACGGCCCCACCAACCCUGCUCAAUUCAGCAUUCUCGAGCUAGAAGACGACGACGACGACCUUGCUCCUUUAGGCCGCCAAAACGCCACCGUGACAUUCAGAUCUGAGAUUUACGUCCCCCUCAAUGGCUAUAAAGGACGAGUAAUGGGAGCAUGCAAUGGGUUGGUUUGUUUGCGUGUUGAUAACGAUGUUGUGGUGUGUAACCCAAUUGUUCAAGGACGACGACCUUUUGUCCUUCCAAAACCGCCAAAACUGGCAAAUAGUUGGUCAAGUUUCGGGUUUGGGUAUAGUCCAUUGAGUGAUGAAUACAAGGUCUUGAGAUGUAAUGAAACGCAAAGAGAAUAUGUUAAUGAUAUUAUUAUAUCGUUUGAGGUCUGCACCCUUGGGAGGGAUGAUACAUGGCGGAGCAUCGGAGGAGGAGGGCACAACGGAAUACGAUUCCCUCGCAGUUCUAUGUCCCCUGGUAUUGAUUUUGUUUUUGUGAAUGGUGCACUUUAUUGGCUAGGGCGGGACAUGGCUUCAAGAUUGUUAUGCUAUUUUGAUGUGGAGAAUGAGGAAUUGGGAAGUACUCUCUACUUGCCUAGUCAAAUCGAUGGUAUCGUGCAUCUUGAAGUUUUGGGGGAAUUUUUAUACCUUUUCGAUGUCCAUCGGGAAAGUCAUGUAAAUGUGUGGGUGAUGAGAGAGCACAAACGUACGGGGGCUAGGACAUGGAAACAGGUUUGUAAGCUACCAUAUCCUUGUGGGAUAGCUGGACCAAUCCAACCGAUAAAAGUUUUCAAAGAUGGAACCAUAUUGAUGAUUCUCAAUAAACUUAUUGCUGAUCAAGAAAAAUACGGCAAAGUUCUUGCAUCUCAGAAUCCUCAAACAGGAUUAAUUAAGUAUCACGAAGCUCUAUUUUUGCCCGAAUCAAUUGCUCAUGCACCGAGCUUCCUCUGCCCGCCAUGGUUGCUAUGAAGGGUAAAAACUUCACGUCAAUUGUGAGAUCAUACUAGCUCUUAUUGUACAUCAUGUCUAUUCUUCAACAAAUCAUGGUCGGGUCGCAUCAGAAUUGAGGUUGAAAUUAGGUUGAGGACGAGGGACUACUCUUUCCAUCUUCGCUGCUAAUUAUGGAUCAGUUAUUGUGCCUACUUUUAAUCACUAUGAUUUAAGCCAAGUGCCAUUGUUUAUGUUUUUGGUUUAUUGUUUUUAGAUGGGGAAGUGUUUUUCUUUCUUUAAAUUCUCUGUUAACCGCCAAAACCUUCAAUUUACUUUCUAUAAGCCC